GACUACAUCCAAACAAAGUCUAACUUCUUUCAGGAAGCUGAGUGAGGUGCGACUGCGACUUGUUGGGGACCCUGAGCACUGAACUUGGUUCUGUCAGAGCCUCAGGAAGCUGAAAAUGUGGACUCUGCCACUCUGUCUGAAUAGAAGUUCAGAAAACAGAAACACAGACAGGUCACAAGUUCAGGCCUUGUUUAGUUGCGAAAAGUGAAAACUUUUCGGAACUGUAGCACUUUUGUUUGUUUGUGACAAAUAUUAUCCAAUUAUGGACUAACUAAGAUCAAAAGAUUCAUCUCGUGAUUUACAGCUAAACUAUGUAAUUAGUUUUUAUUUUCGUCUAUAUUUAAUGUUUAAUGCAUGUGUCACAAGAUUUGAUGUGACGGAGAAUCUUGAAAACUUUUUGGUUUUCAGGGUGAACUAAACAAGGCCUCAGUUCAGAAACAGAAACAAGAAGGUUACAAGUUCAGAAAGUCCUAAUAAUUCCUAAACAACACAAACACUAUCUUCUCGUCGCCAUUUUCAUCUU
rnacentral:lncRNA from 1 species